GGAUUGCCCUAGUAACGGCGAGUGAAGCGGCAAUAGCUCAAAUUUGAAAUCUGGCUCUUUCAGNGUCCGAGUUGUAAUUUGCAGAGGGCGCUUUGGCAUUGGCAGCGGUCAAGUUCCUUUGGAACAGGACGUCACAGAGGGUGAGAAUCCCGUACGUGGUCGCUAGUCUUUGCCGUGUAAAGCCCCUUCGACGAGUCGAGUUGUUUGGGAAUGCAGCUCUAAAUGGGAGGUAAAUUUCUUCUAAAGCUAAAUACUGGCCAGAGACCGAUAGCGCACAAGUAGAGUGAUCGAAAGAUGAAAAGCACUUUGGAAAGAGAGUCAAAUAGCACGUGAAAUUGUUGAAAGGGAAGCGCUUGCAGCCAGACUUGCCNGUAGUUGCUUAUCUGGACUUUUGUCCGGUGCACUCUUCUNNGGGCAGGCCAGCAUCAGUUUGGGCGGUUGGAUAAAGGUCUCUGUCA
rnacentral:rRNA from 1 species